GCAAGCAGCCAUAUCACCCUGCAACUCACAACUCAGCCCACUGAAGCUAAGCAGGAGGUGAGCCUCGUCAGUGCCUGGAUGGGAGACCUCCUGGGAAAAACUAAAGUUGCUGCUGGAA
rnacentral:rRNA from 1 species